GAAGAAGCCCAUGUUUGAGGCCUGCGCCCUGGCGGGAGCAUUGAAGGGGCAUCUGACACGUGACGAGCUGCUCCUGUGUACUGUGAUCACCGCGAGUUCAGAGGUUACACAACGCGUUGCUGAUCUAUCCAGGACGGCUUCAGGAUGGACUAUAAGAAGGAGGUUCAGUCCCGAUUGGGUCCGGCGCAACCUCAGGGAGUACAUAUACAGCGGCCUUGGUUUACGACGACGCACAAUGGCACAAAGAAGAACUAAGAGCAGCACUCUGGAGACUGAACAACCUCCUGAUGCGGAAAAUGAAUGGAUCGC